GCUCCUCGAGGGGGUAACCCUGGAACUACAGAACAAUGCAUUCUGGAAGGUGGGGUUGAACGUAAAGCUGUCUAUCGCCACUCUGUAAACCGCAAUUCCCCCCGGAGUGAAAGUGGCCUCGUUCUCAGGCAUAUCAGGACUGCAGGAUACCAUGGAAAAUAAUGAAUCUACGAGAGGAGGAAGAUCUUUCUCUAUAGCUGAUUCGUGUGGUGGACGCAUGCGCCAGGAUGUGCCCUCCAAUCGGCUUUUUGGGAUCAGCUUGGAACCUGACAGAGACAAGAGAAACACUCAGAUCAGAAUUACAGGCCAAAAUCUGUCAGGCCAAAAAUGUGGCCAAGUGGUUCCCAUAUAAAUCUGCAAGAGCUGUGGCCAGACCUUCAGAGAUCUUCUGCAGACGAGAGAGCAUCUGGGCCAGCUUCUGUUGUUUCUCUGCC